GAAGUGCUCACGCCCCACGCCUUAUUCAGUGAAUGGCUUUUGUCGCCCGACACGGAUCGCCGGGGCGUCUGGGCUGUGGUGUGGGGUCCAGCGACUUGUAACCCCCGGGGAGGGGGCAUCGUGAGCUUCCCCCAGGGCCUGCCCCGACCCCAGCUGCUGCCACAAGCCGCCGCAGGCACAGCCAGGGCCAGUGUCCCGGGAGGGGCCUGGCUCCAGGGGGUACAGGCCUGGCACAGCCUGCCGCAAGGUUCAAACCCAAUUUCGUCCCCGUGCUGCCAAGGGGACAGGCUCUGGUGUAACUCCUGUUUCCUAAGUGAGGAGACUGGGCAGGGGAGGUCUGCAGGCACUGCCAUCCGCGGGAGGUCUGAGCACCCUGUCCUGGGGGCCGAGCAGCCUUCCUUUGGGGCUGAGCACCCCUCCCUAGGGGCUGAGCACCCCUCCUUGCGGGCUGAGCAGUCUUCGCUGGGGGCUGAGCAGUCUUCGCUGGGAGCCAAGCAUCCCACCCUGGGGCCCAAGCACCCCGCUCUGGGGGCCGAGCACCUCUCCCUGGGGGCCAAGCAAUCUUUGCUGGGGGCUGAGCACCCCACCCUGGGGCCCAAGUACCCGGCCCUGGGGGCCAAGCACCCCUCCUUGGGGGCCAAGCAGCCCUCCCUGGGGGACGAGCACCCUGUCCUGCAGGCCAAGCAUCCUGCCCUGGGGCCCGAGCACCCCACCCUGGGGGCUGAGCACCCCACUGUGGGGGCUGAACAGCCCUCCCUGGGGGCUGAGCACCCUGCCCUGAGGGUUGAGCACCUGCCCCGGGGGCCAAGCAACCUUCCCUGGGGGCCAAGCACCCAGGGCCCAAGCACCCCGCCCUGGGGGCCAAGCACCCCUCCCUGGGGCCGAGUACCCACCCUGGGGCCAAGCACCCCACCCUGGGGCCCAAGCACCCCGCCCUGGGGGCCGAGCACCCCUCCCUGGGGUCGAGCACCCUCCCUGGGGCCGAGCACCCACCCUGGGGCUGAGCACCCGGCCCUGGGGCAGCGCCGGCUUCCCUCUUCCAGACGCAGCCGGGCAGAGCUGCACAAGUGCCUCAGAGUUGGUGGUUCUGGAAAAAGCUGGACAGACUGGUUGAACCCCACCUCCUGCAGCAUCCUCCCUCCCCAGCCUCCUCCCCUCCACAGGACCAGCCCGCGCUCCGGCCAGGCCACACCUGCGUGGGUGCCAGCAGCCGAGAGGAGCCACGACAGGAGCACGUCCAAAGGGGCAAAACGCUCGGGCUGA
rnacentral:lncRNA from 12 species